UUUCCGUAGGUGAACCUGCGGAAGGAUCAUUACUGAAGAAAUGGCAAGGUUGUAGCUGGCUCCUAGGAGCAUCGUGCUCGCCUUUGUCGCUUUUUCUACUUUCCACUGUGCACCUUAUGUAGGCUUAUAUGUUGCUUUGAGGGAAGGGUCCUUAAAAACGGUCCUUUUCGAUUCUUCGUUAAGCCUAUGUCUACACACACUAUAAAAAGUCUAUGAAUGUAUUAUCGUUGGUCUUAACUGACCGAUAAAACCAUAUACAACUUUCAGCAACGGAUCUCUUGGCUCUCGCAUCGAUGAAGAACGCAGC
rnacentral:misc_RNA from 1 species